rnacentral:piRNA from 1 species
GCUUCAGUGUUGAUUAUACCCAGGAGC